rnacentral:rRNA from 1 species
AACGAACGCUGGCGGCAUGCCUAACACAUGCAAGUCGAACGAGACCUUCGGGUCUAGUGGCGCACGGGUGCGUAACGCGUGGGAACCUGCCCUUAGGUUCGGAAUAACUCCCCGACAGGGGUGCUAAUACCGGAUAAUGUCUUCGGACCAAAGAUUUAUCGCCUUUGGAUGGGCCCGCGUUGGAUUAGCUAGUUGGUAGGGUAAAAGCCUACCAAGGCGACGAUCCAUAGCUGGUCUGAGAGGAUGAUCAGCCACACUGGGACUGAGACACGGCCCAGACUCCUACGGGAGGCAGCAGUGGGGAAUAUUAGACAAUGGACGAAAGCCUGAUCCAGCAAUGCCGCGUGAGUUAUGAAGGCCUUAGGGUUGUAAAGCUCUUUUACCCGGGAUGAUAAUGACAGUACCGGGAGAAUAAGCACCGGCUAACUCCGUG